UAACUUAUUGUAAUGAAUUGUAUGGUUCCAUUUAUAUGAAAUUCUAGACUAGGGGAAACUAAUAUAUGGUGGGAACAACUCAGGACAGCAGUUGCUCUGGGAAUAUGGGGGUGGCAACUGACUUGGAGGAGACACAUGAAAUUUCUGGGGUGACAAUGUGACUUACACAGAUGUCAGCAUUUGUCAGACUGUAAAUAUAUGGUUUGGAUUUUUAUAUUUCAUUGUACAUGAAUUUUAUCCUCCCCAAAUAAAAUCUAGUUAAUGGUAUGCGUACUGAGGCAUUUGGGGUGUCCAUGAUGCCUGCGAUUGACUUUGCCAUGCUUCAGUAAUUACAAGCGGUAGGAUGGACAGACAGACCUGGCAAAGCAAACGGAGUAAAGCUGGGCCUCUCACCCUCCCUCCCUGAGCUCAGGGAUGGGCAGUCCCUCUGCUCACCAGCCACUGGAUGGAGGGAACCAGGUGAGUCAGGGCUUACCAGCCUGGAUGGCCCACCCAAGCUGAGUUAGAAGCUACCACUGUCGAUGGUUAGAGGAAAAGCGCCCCUGGUGGGCAUUCUGGUCUGCACAGGGCAGGUGGGGCCGCCCUAGCAGACCCCGAGGGUGAGGUGAGAACAAAUCCUAGGCCUGGACUCAGGCCCACAACACUGGUCACACACAAAGUGCUCAAGGACAAGAACGUGGGGCUCACGUGGGCACUGAGGGUGUUAGGUGAGGCUCUUCAGGGCACAUAUCCCACCACACGUGAUUCAAGUCCCCUGAGCCCCGGGCAUGUUGUAGCAGGCAGAACCACCUACCUUUAGUUCACUUUGGCAUUCAGCCCUGGACGUGGCCAAAUGGGACAUAAAACCUGAUUCUGGCAACAGUAUUUUUAAACUCCCACAUCAGAGAACUGCUUAGAAAUUGCCCAACUUUGCCUUGAGUCACCGCAGGUUGGCUCUUCCCUGAUACUCAGGACAUCAGUGUCAGUCCGCUCAUUUCAGGGAUGUGCUGGCCCACGAUGGUGCACCCCAUCCAAACCAAUUCGUCCGCAGAAGCUAAGCCCUUUCUUCAGAAGGCUUUCCCUGAGCCCUGGAGUGUGGGCAGAAAGGCUGCAGCCAGCCAGGUGACAUGCUUCAAGAGGACACCUGCAGUAGCAGGUUUGGGGGCACCUGGCCAAGAGCGGCAUUAAGAGGAAAGACCAGCAGGGGGACCUGGAGAUUCUGCACACUGAGGGGGCCUGGGAGCCCCCACCAGGCCCAGCUGGGUCCUGCGGAACAUCCUGGGUCUGAAGUGGACUCCAGCUCAGUUUUCGUUUCUUGCCCAAUUCAAGAUUCCACAGCCUGAGUUCUCUGGAGACUGUUUUGAGAAGUGCUCUCUCCCAGGCGAAGGUCAAGAGGUGGAGGCACUGGAGGAUCAGAGAGCAGCUUUGCAUUCUUGCCCCAGAGCCCCCUUUGAACAUGGCUCCUCAGAAUCAGCCAGGGCAGAGCUACUGUUGAAUUUCCAGACGCCCGUGUGUCGCGCUAACACUUUUACCAGGGGCCUUGCAAUUUCAGAAGUACAUAGAUCACUCCUGGACUUUGGUGUAGGUGAGAGCUUAUUAGUCUAGCAACUGUCACAGAUGCUAUCCAUUCAUUCCAGCACAGGUGUUUCUGAGACCACAUCAUCCCUUGAUGAUGCACUGUCCACCUGCACCUCUGUCCUGUGUACUGACAGCCUGGAGGUGGUGGCAGGAACUCUGGGUGCUGCUGACAGCUUCCUGGCAAGAUGCUACCUACCGCUAAGAGAAAAAGACAAGUCUUGAGAAAUCAAGGGCUGACCAAAUCAUGUCCUGCUUGGACAUUACCUCCUGACAAGUCCUUGAGGAGACAGAGGACACCAAGAGGCAGCUCAGUAUAAAAGAAAAAUGCCACCAAGUUUGAACAGGGAAUUGACACAAGAUGGCUGGAUUUUUUGGAUAGCAUCUUCUUUUCCUGAGAAUCACCUUAGCAUCAUUAUGGAAUCUGAGUAACUCACACAAACAGGAUCGACUGGACAAAAACCAGAGGUAAAAAGAUGUUUUUUCAAGAAUGGACUAAUAUAAAUUAUAUGAACAUUAUAUAAAAAUCAACAUUUCUCAAGACAAAAAAAGCAGAUGAAUAAAAAUAAAUGUGCAUCCUCUUAUUAAGCUCAGGCCAUGUUGUGUUUUGGUCAGACUUUUAAUUUUUUAAACAUGUGGAGCUUUGGGGGAGAUUUAGGAAGAUAUAUAGAUCUAUAGGCAUUUAAACCCCUCUGAAACAAUUACAAGGCAUUCACAAAGAAGGUUUAAAUCAGACAACCCAUAAUACUUGAUGUAGAAAAUGUUCCAGCUUCCAUAAUUCUUUAUUAAAUAUUUGACAAGUUGCAUCACUUCUUUACAAUAACGUCAUUUUGUCACAUUAGUCUUCUGCUGUCAGGAAAACAAGCUACAUUUUUCUCUUUAGAUCUCCCGAGGAAAAAAAGUAGAGCAAAAAGGAUUUGUUCUUAAACAAAACUUUCCCUAGGUAUAUCAAAUUCAACUGUACUUUAAAGCUAUUCUGAUUGUGAAAAUGAGCAUUAUCUGUAAGUUGUCUUUAAAAAAAACCUUCCAGGUAGUUUGUUUUUUACCACUGUAUCAAACAGUACUUGGCUUCCUGUUAAGGAGGUGGGUUUAUAAUAAAAAGUUAUGAAACACUGAGAAUUCAUUUGGAAUGCUUGAAACUCUUUCACCUUAAAAGUCACUGUUUUUUUCAUGUUUUAUUUGGUAGUAGAUAGAUCCUGAAUUAAGAAAUGACAGCAAAUUAACAUCCUCUUCCUAGGGGUCUCUCAGGCUCUGAGUGUUAGAAUUUUUAGGACACACAGCUUGGAGAAAACUGCUGAAGGGACUAAGCUCUCACUCCCUUUUGAAACCAGAUUACUCAAUAAAGAUCUAAAAAUGCUAUAUAAAUAUAUACAUAUACAUUUGGACAGCGUAUGUAGGUAUAGAUGUAUAUAUAUUACAUACAUAGUA